UUGCUUGCUUUGCCAGCACAUAUACUAAAAUUGGAAGGUACAGAGAAGAUUAGCAUGGCCCCUAUGCUAGGAUGACAUGCAAAUUCAUGAAGCGUUCCACAGUUAG
ensembl:snRNA U6 U6 spliceosomal RNA